rnacentral:rRNA from 1 species
UACAGAGGGUGCAAGCGUUGCUCGGAAUUAUUGGGCGUAAAGGGUAGGUAGGCGGUCUCAUUUGUCAGGGGUGAAAGCCUUGGGCUUAACCCAAGAAGUGCCCCUGAAACGGUGAGACUCGAGUACUGGAGAGGGUCGUGGAAUUCCCGGUGUAGCGGUGAAAUGCGUAGAGAUCGGGAGGAACACCAGAGGCGAAGGCGGCGACCUGGACAGUUACUGACACUCAACUACGAAAGCGUGGGGAGCAAACAGG